UCGGGCCCCGGGACCUCCGGGCAGGGCGGGAGCGGGUCUGUGCCCACCUGCGUCCUUCGGAAGUGGCCGGGCUGCGACCCCACAGGAGGGGCUGAGGAGGGGACGACCCCACCCCGGGGCGCAUCAGCCCACCUGAGGGGCGGCUCCGGGAGGCCCGUGUCCUUGGUGCUGGGUCCUGGCCCUGGGAGAGGAGGGCGGAGCCGGCUGACAGGGCGGGGCGGGGCCCCCAUCCCUGCAGGGCGCCUGUGCCCCCAUCCUGGGGACUGAGGGCCUGGCUGGGGUGGGGGCGCUGCCCCUUCCUGUGGGCUGCGGGCGGAACAGCCCUGCGAUGCUGGGAGGACCCGGCCUCCGAGCGUCCACACCCGGUGUGUGUCCAUGCCGCGGGCGCUGUGCCGGGGCCGGCGGAGAGGACGCCAUGACCCCGUCCUGGUGGUCCAGCUCUGCCUGGGGAGACUGGAAGACGGGGAGGGGAGACCUUGCUCUGGGAGGGACCCCGCCCCCCCCACAGCCAUGCCCUGCUCCCUGGAGACCCCAGGCUCAGGAGCCCCGGGGAGGAGAGGACGGGCGCAGGGGCAGGGGCAGGGGCAGGGGCAACCCUCUCACGGGGAGCUCUCCUCCAGGGCUGUGCGGGCCCCAGGACCCGAGUGCAGGCAGGUGAGCGUGCUCCCACUGUGCCGGGUCCCCCCCCCUGCCAUGGGACAAGGGCCACCCUGGGCAGCUGGGGUGGGGACAGCAGCCCUGUCUGGUGAGGAGGGCGUCUGGGAGGGUCCUGGCCUGCGAGGGGACGUGGUCCUGGGACCCAGCCUCUGGUUUCCUUCCAGGGACCCUCCCCAGACCCAGCGUCCGGGCUGAGCCAGGCUCUGUGAUCACCCUGGGCAGGCCUAAAGCCCUGUGGUGUCAGGGAACCCUGGAGGCCCAGGAGUGCCGUCUGUAUAGGGAGGGAAUCCCAGAGCCCUGGGACAGAGCGAUGCCCCUGGAGCCCGGAAACAAGGCCAAGUUCCCCACCCUCUCAUGGCUGAGCUGUACGCGGGGCGCUACUGCUGUGUCUGCCUCAGCGCUGCUGGCUGCUCAGAGCCCAGUGCCGCCCUGGAGCUGGGGUGACAGUGAGGAAGCCACACCUGAGCAGGAGCUGGCUCCCCCGGUGGCCCCAGAGCACAGGGAGCUGGACAGAGUAACGUGGAGGCGGCUCAUCUGAGGGCCAGGCUGAUCCCUGUUGCAUGAUGUGGGGACCCGGAAGCACGGAGUGUGGAGCAGGCCGGGAUCUCCUCCUCCUCACCGUCCUGACCCUGUUCUCCGGAGGACCGGAGCCCAGCAGCCCCUCGCACUGCCAGCCAGGCUCCCCCGCUGCUCCAGCACCCCAGGACCACACCCUGGAGAACCUCAUCCGCAUGGGCGUGGCAGCUUGGUCCUGCUGGGCCUCGGGCUUCUGCUGGCGGAGGCUUGGUACAGCCACAAGAGGACCCGGGCUGCAAGCCGGCGGUGACCUGGAGAGAGGACAGAGCUGGGUCAGAGAGGCCAAGCCCUGGAGGCGGGGAAGGGGGGAUCAGGCAUGCGUGGUGAGAAGCCGUGGGAAGUGGGGAGAGCUCACCUGGGGUUGUGGGAAUCCUGCUCAGGGGCAGGGACCCUGGUGGGCUGCUAGUGGUGCUGCUUUCCUGGGCUCCCAUGUGCAUUCUGGGAAGGGGCUCUGGCCUCCCGCAGCCCUGCCCACCGCCCUGCAGGCUCCCGUGCGGUUCUGUGCUGUUCCUCUCCAGGGACCGCACACAGUUCAGUGGCCCUGAGUGUCCACAGGAGCCCGGGCCCUGCUGCCCACGGAGAGGGCAACGCCAGGAUUUGCUCCCCUUGACCUUCAGCAAGUGGGCCAGGAUGUGGUGGGACACCUGUCACUCAAGAUGGGUUUAAAAUUCUGCUCACCAAAAGGAGGCCAUGACAGGUGGGGCCAGAAGUGAGAGGUCAGAAUCAAUAGAUCUGGGUUGGUUCUGUGGCUUAAUGGAUAAAAGCUGCUGCCUGAGGUGCUGGCAUCCCUGUGGUCACCGGUUCAAGUCCUGGCUGCCCCACUUCCAAUCCAGCUCUCUGCUAUGGCCUGGGAAAGCAGUAGAUGGCCCAAGUGUCUGGGCCCCGGCAUCCAUGUGGGAGACCCAGAAGAAGCUCCUGGCCCCUGGUUCCUGGCUCCUGGCUCCUGGCUCCUGGCUCCUGGCUGGAGAUCAGACAAGCUCCAGCUGUGAGGACCCAUUGGGAUUAAACCGGCAGAUGGAUACCUCUC